CCUACGGGAGGCAGCAGUGGGGAAUAUUGGGCAAUGGAGGCAACUCUGACCCAGCAACGCCGCGUGAGCGAUGAAGGUCUUCGGAUUGUAAAGCUCUGUCGCAGGGGACGAAGUAUGACGGUCUCCUGUCAGAAAGCCCCGGCAAACUACGUGCCCGCAGCCGCGGUCAUACGUAGGGGGCUAGCGUUGUCCGGAAUUACUGGGCGUAAAGGGAGUGUAGACGGCUUGUCAAGUUAAGUGUGAAAGCCUGGGGCUUAACCGCAGAAUUGAACUUGAAACUGACUCGCUAGAGUGCAGGAGAGGGGAGUGGAAUGCCUGGUGUAGCGGUGGAAUGCGUAGAGAUUAGGAGGAACACCAGAGGCGAAGGCGGCUCACUGGACUGUAACUGACGUUGAGGCGCGAAAGCGUGGGUAGCAAACAGGAUUAGAUACCCUUGUAGUC
rnacentral:rRNA from 1 species